ACGGGAGGCAGCAGUGGGGAAUAUUGCACAAUGGGCGCAAGCCUGAUGCAGCAACGCCGCGUGAGGGAAGACGGUUUUCGGAUUGUAAACCUCUGUUCUUGGUGACGAAGAAGUGACGGUAGCCAAGGAGAAAGCCACGGCUAACUACGUGCCAGCAGCCGCGGUAAUACGUAGGUGGCAAGCGUUAUCCGGAAUUACUGGGUGUAAAGGGAGCGCAGGCGGGACAGCAAGUCAGCGGUGAAAUGUAUGGGCUCAACCCAUGAACUGCCGUUGAAACUGUUGUUCUUGAGUGGAGUAGAGGUAGGCGGAAUUCCGAGUGUAGCGGUGAAAUGCGUAGAUAUUCGGAGGAACACCAGUGGCGAAGGCGGCUUACUGGGCUCUAACUGACGCUGAGGCACGAAAGUGUGGGUAGCAAACAGGAUUAGAUACCCUGGUA
rnacentral:rRNA from 1 species